GAUGAAGAACGCAGCGAAAUGCGAUACGUAAUGUGAAUUGCAGAAUUCAGUGAAUCAUCGAGUCUUUGAACGCACAUUGCGCUCCCUGGUAUUCCGGGGAGCAUGCCUGUUCGAGCGUCAUUACAACCCUCAAGCUCUGCUUGGUGUUGGGCCCCGCCGCCCCGGCGGGCCCUAAAGUCAGUGGCGGUGCCGUCCGGCUCCGAGCGUAGUAAUUUUUCUCGCUUUGGAGGCCCGGGCGCGUGCUCGCCAUCAACCCCCAAUUUUUUUCAGGUUGACCUCGGAUCAGGUAGGGAUACCCGCUGAACUUAAGCAUAUCAAUAAGCGGAGGA
rnacentral:misc_RNA from 1 species